rnacentral:snRNA from 1 species
GGAUGUGAGUCUGGCUGCAACAUAUUUAACCCUAUUGAUUGCCAUGGUUGUUUCUGCUGGUCCAGGUGGCUAGGUAGUUGUGCCUCUCCCCGCUCAACACUUCGCAUGUGUCCCUCUCAAAGCUUCAUGCUCCAUUGAAGAGGACAACCUUCCCUGAACAGAGGAGGACCGGUCUUCCACAGAGGACAGAUGAGUAGCUCUGCUCCCUUGCUGGAACCUCUAAACAAGGUCACAAGGCUGCCCUUUCAUUUUUAUUAUUGAGUAUACACAGGUUACAUAAAUAUAUAAUGAUCUGUCAGCCAAUCCUCUAACUUUUGAUGAC